UUUAAUUAUAUUGAAAAACGUUAAAAAUUGGUGCUUAAAAGUUUUAAACCACUGAAUUACCACAUUGGCAACAAUUGACACCAUUUAGAAAAAUAUGUAAAUCUUCGAUAAAUCACAUAAUACUUACCAUGUCAUCAAUUCCAUAAUGAGUAACUGCAACGGCCCCAACAAUAAAAAUUAUUGCAACUCCAUAUCUUUAUAUUCAAACAAACAUUUGUCAUCAGCAAUAAAUGAGCCCGCGACCGUUAGUGAAAAAUAAGAUAAGAAAAAAAUUAAAAAACUGCUUUACUAUUAAAAUACUCUAACUCCAAAACUCAUCGUAAAAAUAACAAAACCAUAGAGGAUCUAAAAAAUUCUACAAUAGAUUGGGAUUGGUUAAUGGCCAAAACGGCAGCUGAUCGCCUCGUCCGCCCAUUACCGUUAAAAGCUUUAUUGAUUCCGUAAACGAGACUGAAGGGGACCGGUGUGACCAGGAGGGGACCAUGAGG
rnacentral:misc_RNA from 1 species